CAACUGAUCCAUCAAGUGCCAGCCUACACAUUAGCAUAAUGUGGAUUUUCCAAGCUACUUUUAUACAUGAAAUAAUAUAAGCUGUAAUGAGUGAAAGUAAGCACGGAUUUUUCAGCAGUACUUUCCAGAAAUUUUGAUGGAAGAUCAGCUUUUUGUAGCUGGAGAAGUUGGAUUAAAAAAUGACCACAGAGAAAUUGAAAGAUGUCCAGUAGAAGGUCUGUAGACUUCAUUCCAAUUCAGCAUAUCCAUGAGGUCACCAAGAAAUUAAGUCACCAAGAAGUUAAUUUCCUCAAGAAAGGACCCUUGAAGAAAGUUGCUAUUAUUAAGUCGAUUAGGGUGUAGUGGCAGGAAAAAAAGUAAGGACUGAUUUCUAAGAAACAUAAAAAUGAAAACAUUAAAGAAAAACCCUAAAUUUCAUUGAAGAAUAAAUUGUGGGACUGAGCCACAGAACAAAACUGAAUAUUUAUAUCAUCACCACAUGUAUAGUUAGUGAUAUAUCUAUUUUCUGGGAGUCUGUAUUUUAAAAUUAGGUUUAUUGAGGUAUAAUUCGUAUGGAGUAAAAUUUAAUCUUUUUGUGUGUUCACUUUUAUUAAUUUGGACAAAUAUUCAAAAUAGUAUAACCACCACUACAAUCAAGAUGUAGAACAUUCUCAUCACCCUCAAAAGGCCCCUUUGAAGUCAUAUAAUUAUAGAGUAUGUUGCUUUCUGAUCUGGGCCUUGUUACACUUAUUAUACUGCAUUUGAUAGCCAUAAUGUCAUUGCAUUAACAGUCAUUCAGUCUUUUAUUGCCACUUUGAGUUAUAUGCCAU
rnacentral:lncRNA from 10 species